rnacentral:tRNA from 1 species
CGGAAUAUAGCUCAGUAGGGAGAGCGCCUGCUUUGGGAGCAGGAGGUCGCAGGUUCAAGCCCUGUUAUUCCGA